UGAAUACGAGACGCUAAGGCGUCGAAGUAGUGUAUGUCAUGCUUCCAAGAAAAGCUUGCACUGUCAUAAGUAAAAAAUGCCUGUACCAUAACCGACACAGGUGGGUAGGUAGAGUAUACUAAGGGGCGCGAGAUAACUCUCUCUAAGGAACUCGGCAAAAUAACUCCGUAACUUCGGGAGAAGGAGUACCUUAUUCUAUAAGGUUGCAAUAACAAGAUCCAAGCAACUGUUUAUCAAAAACACAGGUCUCCGCUAAGUCGUAAGACGAUGUAUGGGGGCUGACGCCUGCCCAGUGCCAGAAGGUUAAAGAAGUCGGUUAGCAUUAGCGAAGCUGGUAACUGAAGCCCUGGUGAACGGCGGCCGUAACUAUAACGGUCCUAAGGUAGCGAAAUUCCUUGUCGGGUAAGUUCCGACCCGCACGAAAGGCGUAAUGAUUUGGAUACUGUCUCGGAGAGGGGCUCGGUGAAAUAGACUUGUCUGUGAAGAUGCGGACUACCUGCACCAGGACAGAAAGACCCUAUGAAGCUUUACUGUAACUUGAAAUUGAAAUUGGACUUUAUUCGCGCAGUAUAGGUGGGAGGUGUUGAUUAUAAUCUUGCGGGAUUAUUGGAGCCAUCAGUGAGAUACCACUCUUGUAAUGUUAGAUUCUAACUUUGAAUCAUUAUCUGGUCAAAGGACAGUUUCAGGCGGGCAGUUUGACUGGGGCGGUCGCCUCCCAAACGGUAGCGGAGGCGUACAAAGGUUUCCUCUGAACGGGUAGAAAUCGUAUCUAGAGUGUAAAGGCAUAAGGAAGCUUGACUGUGAGACCUACAAGUCGAACAGGGACGAAAGUCGGUCUUAGUGAUCUGACGGUACUGAGUGGAAAGGCCGUCACUCAACGGAUAAAAGUUACUCUAAGGAUAACAGGCUGAUCUCCCCCAAGAGUUCACAUCGACGGGGAGUUUGGCACCUUGAUGUCGGCUCAUCGCAUCCUGGGGCGGUAGUACGUCCCAAGGGUUGGGCUGUUCGCCCAUGAAAGCGGUACGCGAGCUGGGUUCAGAACGUCGUGAGACAGUUCGGUCCAUAUCCGGUGUAGGCGUUAGAAUAUUGAGAGGAGCCUUCUUUAGUACGAGAGGACCGAGAAGGACAUACCUCUGGUGUACCAGUUAUCGUGCCAACGGUAAACGCUGGGUAGCUAUGUAUGGAGUGGAUAACCGCUGAAAGCAUCUAAGUGGGAAGCCCACCUCAAGAUAAGUAUUCUCAC
rnacentral:rRNA from 1 species